rnacentral:rRNA from 1 species
CCAGACUCCUACGGGAGGCAGCAGUGGGGGAUAUUGCACAAUGGGGGAAACCCUGAUGCAGCGACGCCGCGUGGGCGAAGAAGUAUUUCGGUAUGUAAAGCCCUAUCAGCAGGGAAGAAGAAAUGACGGUACCUGAGUAAGAAGCACCGGCUAAAUACGUGCCAGCAGCCGCGGUAAUACGUAUGGUGCAAGCGUUAUCCGGAUUUACUGGGUGUAAAGGGAGCGCAGGCGGCACGGCAAGCCUGGAGUGAAAGCCCGGGGCCCAACCCCGGAACUGCUCUGGAAACUGUGCGGCUAGAGUACUGGAGGGGCAGGCGGAAUUCCUAGUGUAGCGGUGAAAUGCGUAGAUAUUAGGAGGAACACCAGUGGCGAAGGCGGCCUGCUGGACAGUAACUGACGUUGAGGCUCGAAAGCGUGGGGAGCAAACAGGAUUAGAUACCCUGGUAC